rnacentral:misc_RNA from 1 species
GAAUACUCGGCAGGGCCAACAGUUGAAGUGGCACAAAAGAUUGGUGAAGUGAUUGCCAAGUCUUGCUUGGAGAAAGGAAUUACCAAAGUUGUUUUUGACCGGGGUGGUUUCCUCUACCAUGGUCGCAUUAAAGCUCUGGCUGAUGCUGCUAGAGAGAAUGGGCUUGAUUUCUGAAACCUCCAAAUGUUUGUUCAUAUCUCCAGAAUCACUUGUUACUUUCUUUUUCGCCCACCUGUCGAACAGAGUUUUUCUUUGUAGUAAUUUGAUUUGCUCUGCAGGCUUGGCUACUCUUUAAUUGUAUAUCACCCCACUAUCAGCUCACCAGUUAUUGAGUUUGUC